rnacentral:rRNA from 1 species
AUUGAACGCUGGCGGCAUGCCUUACACAUGCAAGUCGAACGGUAACGGGCCUUCGGGUGCCGACGAGUGGCGAACGGGUGAGUAAUACAUCGGAACGUGCCCGAUCGUGGGGGAUAACGAGGCGAAAGCUUUGCUAAUACCGCAUACGAUCUACGGAUGAAAGCAGGGGACCGCAAGGCCUUGCGCGGACGGAGCGGCCGAUGGCAGAUUAGGUAGUUGGUGGGAUAAAAGCUUACCAAGCCGACGAUCUGUAGCUGGUCUGAGAGGAUGAUCAGCCACACUGGGACUGAGACACGGCCCAGACUCCUACGGGAGGCAGCAGUGGGGAAUUUUGGACGAUGGGCGCAAGCCUGAUCCAGCCAUGCCGCGUGCAGGAUGAAGGCCGUCGGGUUGUAAACUGCUUUUGUACGGAACGAAAAGCCUUCUUUUAAUACAGGAGGGUCAUGACGGUACCGUAAGAAUAAGCACCGGCUAACUACG